GUAGGUCACAAGCGUUGUCCGGAAUUACUGGGUGUAAAGGGAGCGCAGGCGGGAAGACAAGUUGGAAGUGAAAUCUAUGGGCUCAACCCAUAAACUGCUUUCAAAACUGUUUUUCUUGAGUAGUGCAGAGGUAGGCGGAAUUCCCGGUGUAGCGGUGGAAUGCGUAGAUAUCGGGAGGAACACCAGUGGCGAAGGCGGCCUACUGGGCACCAACUGACGCUGAGGCUCGAAAGUGUGGGUAGCAAACAGGAUUAGAUACCCUGGUAGUCCACACCGUAAACGAUGAUUACUAGGUGUUGGAGGAUUGACCCCUUCAGUGCCGCAGUUAACACAAUAAGUAAUCCACCUGGGGAGUACGACCGCAAGGUUG
rnacentral:rRNA from 1 species